UACGGAGGGUGCGAGCGUUGUCCGGAAUCACUGGGCGUAAAGGGUGCGUAGGCGGUUCGGUAAGUUGCUGGUGAAAUCCCGGGGCUCAACUCCGGGGCUGCCGGCACGACUGCCGGACUUGAGCACGGUAGGGGCAGAUGGAAUUCCCGGUGUAGCGGUGGAAUGCGUAGAUAUCGGGAAGAAUACCAGUGGCGAAGGCGUUCUGCUGGGCCGUUGCUGACGCUGAGGCACGACAGCGUGGGGAGCAAACAGG
rnacentral:rRNA from 2 species